rnacentral:rRNA from 1 species
UACGGGGGAGCAAGCGUUGUUCGGAUUACUGGCGUAAAGGGCGCGUAGGCGGUCAGCACAAGUCAGUUGUGAAAUCUCCGGGCUUAACUCGGAAAGGUCAACUGAUACUGUGCGACUAGAGUGCGGAAGGGGCAACUGGAAUUCUCGGUGUAGCGGUGAAAUGCGUAGAUAUCGAGAGGAACACCUGCGGCGAAGGCGGGUUGCUGGGCCGACACUGACGCUGAUGCGCGAAAGCCAGGGGAGCGAACGGG